AGAGCCCGAGCUUGGACUCUUCCUCACGUCCGUCUGUGUCCGCAAUGAAUGCGUAGCAGAAGGGUGCUAUGCUUUGCUAACGUCGUCGGGAUUCAUCUUCUUCCCCUGUCCCCCUCCGAACACUGCAACCACAUCCGUCCCCGCACCUUCUUGAAUCCCCCAAACCAUCGCCAAGAUCGACACCGUCCUCCUCGUCUUCUUCUCUCUCAGUUUCUGCCUCUCUUGUACUUACAAGAGAACUCCCCUGAGAAUUCUGAGGCCUGGCGUUUCGAUCUGCUUAAAGAAGAAUUCCCCUUUGUUAGCUUGGUCUCUCCAUCUUGGUCCUGACAAGGUGUAGAGGUUUCGCCUUUUAGGUGUUUCAUUGGGUUUUGCCGCUGACCUCGAUUCCCUUUCGACUCUGGAUAGCGAGGAUGAAGGCGCUUGUACUUCCCCUGAUCGCGCCCUUCUUCUUUUUCCUGAGUCCGUGCGUCGGCAGCAUCCAGACGACCCAGCUCAGCCCCGGAUUCCAGGGCUCCGAAAUGGAGUGGAUCGACAACAAUGGGCUCUUCCUCUUGUCCAACAGCUCCGGCUUCGCUUUCGGCUUCACCACCUACAACAGUAGCGACACCACGUCCUUCCUGGUCUCGGUGAUCCACCGGGGGAGCGGCACCAUCGUCUGGACCGCCAACCGGGACGCGCCGGUGUCCCACUCUGACGAGUUCGUGUUCGACAAGGACGGCAGCGCCUACCUCAAGUCCGGUGGCGAUGUGAUAUGGUCAACGAACACCUCUGGCCAGGGAGCGACGCGGAUGGAGCUGCUGGACUCGGGCAACUUGGUACUCCUCGGCGGCGGCGACGGUAGCAACAGCGCGUCGCCCCUUUGGCAGAGCUUCGAUCAUCCGACGGACACCCUCCUUUCUGGCCAGAGCUUCACCAAGGGAAUGUUGCUGGUGAGCGACCCCAGUGACAGUGGCUUGAGGUAUCAUCUCCGAAUCGACUCGGAGGAUGCGAAGCUCUUCGCGGAAUUCGCGUCACCCCAGCUCUACUGGUCCAUGCAGCGUGACGCUAGGAAGAUCGAUAACCAGGUCGGCGGCGACAUACGCUCCGCGGUGCUCGAAUCCAACUCAUGGAACUUCUAUGAUCAGAAUCAAUCUAGAAUUUGGCAAUUCAUCGUGGAUUCAGCUGAGACCAGUGAGAAUGUCACGCGAAUGGCUGUUUUAGACACCUCUGGCUCCAUCACAUUCUCGAUCCUCCCCAGCAGCGGCCAAGGAAACCCUUCGUCGAUCAAGAUCCCGGAAGACUCGUGUGAUACACCUGAGGCCUGCCAUCCAUACUUCAUAUGUUACCCGGGCAUCCGCUGUCAGUGCCCAAGCGUUCUCAGCCUGGACUCGAACUGUAAUCCCGGUAAUGUUUCUUCUUGUGACCCGAGCACUUCAUUCAAGCUUGCCAAAGUUGAUGAUGGAGUUGGGUAUUUCGCCACUAGUUUUGUCUCACCCAGUGCAAAGUCAAACGUGACAGGGUGCAAAGAUGCAUGCCUGGAUAACUGCUCGUGUGCUGCCUUAUUCUAUGAUGAGAAAUCCGGCAGUUGUUUUCUUUUUGAUCAGAUUGGGAGCUUCAAGCAGAUACAGAGCAACACAGCCAGUUACACUUAUAUCAAAGUGACCAGCAAUGCAGAUGGUGGCAAAGGAUCAAAUGGACAAGGAAGCAGUGGCAGCAAGACCUUGAUGAUUGUCCUAAUCAUCUCGUUCAUGACUGUUGCAGUGAUAGCAACUCUCGUCUAUCUUGCUUGCAGGAUUCAUCGGAGGAAGAAAAUACCAGAACCAUCACAGGGGUCCUCAGAAGAAGAUAAUUUCUUGGAGGGACUAUCUGGGAUGCCGGUCAGGUUCAGCUACAGAGAGCUUCAAAUGGCUACAGAUGACUUCUCUGUCAAGCUCGGCGAAGGAGGGUUUGGCUCCGUCUAUCUAGGAAAGCUUCCCGAUGGCACAAGAAUCGCAGUGAAGAAAUUGGAAAGCAUUGGCCAGGGGAAGAAAGAGUUCCGCUCCGAGGUGAGCAUAAUAGGCAGCAUCCACCACAUUCAUUUGGUCAAACUUCGGGGUUUCUGUGCAGAAGGCGCACACAGGCUUCUGGCAUAUGAAUAUAUGGCAAAAGGAUCUUUAGAUAGAUGGAUAUUUAAAAAGAAUCAAAGAGAUUUUUCACUGGAUUGGGAUAAGAGGUAUAAUAUAGCUUUAGGCACGGCAAAGGGGUUAGCGUAUCUCCAUGAAGACUGUGAAUCAAAGAUAGUUCAUUGUGAUAUUAAGCCUGAAAAUGUGCUUCUAGAUGACAAUUACCAUGCAAAGGUAUCAGAUUUUGGACUAGCAAAGCUUAUGACAAGAGAACAAAGCCAUGUAUUCACAACAUUGAGAGGCACGAGGGGAUACCUUGCACCAGAAUGGAUUACAAACUAUGCCAUAUCGGAGAAAAGUGAUGUGUACAGUUAUGGUAUGGUCUUGCUUGAGAUAAUUGGUGGCAGGAAGAACUUUGAUCCUGCAGAGACUUCUGAGAAAUCCCACUUUCCUUCAUAUGCUUUCAAAAAGAUGGAGGAAGGCAAGUUAAAGGAAAUUUUUGAUGCCGACUUGAUAUAUAAUGACAUGGAUGGGAGAAUGGAGACUGCAAUUAAAGUUGCCUUGUGGUGCAUUCAGGAGGACUUGUAUUUAAGACCAUCAAUGACUAAAGUAGUCCAAAUGCUAGAAGGACUACAAGAUGUCCCUCAACCUCCGACAUCAUCGCAGCUGGGCUUCCGGCUUUAUGCUAAUGCGUUCAAGGCUAUUAGUGAAGAGGGAACAUGUUCAGGUUCAGGGCCAUCAGACUGCAACAGCGAUGCAUUUCUAUCUGCUGUUCGCCUAUCUGGGCCUAGAUAGCAAGGGUAGUCCACUUUGAGUGCAGCCUGCCUUCCACUCACAAAGCAGCUGUUUCUGGUCCGUGAACCUGCUCCAUUGUGCCUAGUAUUGCAGGACUGGGAUCCUUUACGAGUAUUAUGUAGCAGAUAUUUUGCUCAAGCCGAGAGUUGAUAUUUAUUUUGAAGACGAGAUAGCUUUUGAUGGUGAGUCCUCUGUUGUAUGUCGUAGUGGAGAGAAAAAGACAUGCAACGGAACAGGGAUUUCUUGGCGAUUUAGAUUUGAGCCUUUAAAUUGCUGGGGAUAUCUGUUUCUAUGGAAGCGGAAGCGCGAGAGACUGCAGAGAGCCCGACAUCGGUCGCCGCGGCUGCAGGUUCCGAGGGCAAUGGGAGCAAGCCUAACGUCCGUAGCUUCCUCAGCGUCAAGUGCCCGGUAAGGUGCCCGUUGUCCUCACUUUUCCUGCUCGUCGGUAGUCACAUCCUUGUUCAGGUCUGGCUAGGGUUUCUUCAUGCAUUCACCACCGGGCUUCUCCCGAGCAGCGAGCUCGGCAGAGCGGAUGCUUCUCUGAAGAACAAGCCAGCGUUUGGAGAUGCAGGCGGAGUUGCAACACGUGUCGAUCCCAAUUUGAGACGAGUAUAUUAAACUCAGAGUCACGUGGGCCCAACUUAACCGGGCCGGAAAUAGAUAUGAUGGUUUGGGCUUUCAGAUCACGGCGUGACGGGGGGAGGAAGCAGACUCUCUCUCUCCUCUGCAUUCCACGCUUGGCAGUACAUUCCAUGAUUCGUAUCUAUCAUCUGGCUGUUGCUCGGUCGUAUAUGCAGUUGCUUGUUAUUCUCCUGAUAUCUGUAGACACCAAGAUACAUGCCAAGAAGAAACUUUCUUGAUUGUCGCUAGCAUCCUGUUGGCUUUAAGGGAACCUGUAUGAAGAAUUUACUCUGGAAGCGGGGAUGGAUUCUGUGAUGGGUUGUCUAUGAUGUACAAGUGGAACGUUUCCACUUGUUUCUGAUUCCCGGAAGACGAAAACUACAAUUGCUUGAAGACCUGGCUGCCAUUGACUGGAACUGAUACAACUCAGCGUGUCAGGAUCUUCCUGGAACUUUCUAUGAUGUUGAUGCGCCAAUUUGCAGAUUGGAAUGCAUAGCCUUUGGACAUUUGUACAACAGAUGUUUCAGCAUCUCCACAACCACGAAUUCUCUAGUUCCAGAGAGUUCUUCUGGUUAUCUAGACAGAUGUGUUGAUGCAAUGGGAUGAUUCAUCAUAAAUUUCAUCUGUUUUGUCACAAAGAACGCAUGAUGUCCUUGUCCUCAUCGAUUUCUUCACCUUGGGGCUUGCUCAUUUAGGUGGUGAGAAAGGAAGAAAAGAACUUGUUGUCAUUAUCCAUCAAGGUUCUCAAUGAUCCGUCGCUCAGGGAUUAUUCUUAUCCUCCAGUAGUCAAAGCUAUGACCUUCAAGAUGUAGCUCUAAUGUACUUUAAUCCUGGGGAAGAAAUGAUGAAGCUUUGUUCCAAAUAUCUUUCCUUGGUAAAGUCAAUGUAGCAGUCACUCACCACACCAGGAACUAACUGCAUACACAAGAGACCUCUGCUCAUCUGUCGUUUGUGCCGACUGCAAUCGGUAACAAUGCAGUCCAAGCUUGGAGACGCCACAAGUGUUGGCAGAAUGCAUCGAUCAUCUCGUCUCCAACUUAACUGGGAUCUUCGACUCCACUGGAUCUGCAACCAUUUUGGUAUGUUGGUACAUGCAUUCUUGUUUCUUCUGUGAGCCCUAUCUCGUAUUGCUACGCAUGAGAUAUUGAUGGACCACAGAGUUGGAUUUGGAUCGGUGACAUACUAUGUCGUUUUAAUUCAUCGGAAACAUGAUAUGUCGUGCUGUGAUUGGCUUGCUUCAUCUUGUGGCUGACAGAGGCACACAGGUAGAGCUCACAUGCGGGCGGUGGGGCUGAUGGAUCCGCUUGGCCUCCGUUGUUUUGUCCGGACGUGCCAACCGCCCGCAGGAGCAGAUGGGCUGCUGAUUCCUGCCGAUUCGAUGCAGGUGAAGCCACUCGUUCAAUUUAGAAGAUGGAGACCGGUGACCGAGUGAAGAAGAACCCAUGUUAGAAGAUGAUCAUGAUGAUGAUGCCAGGUUAUGAGAUGGUGGUCGUCAGUGUCCGGCAGUAAGAGGUCGGUCGACCUCCUCUUUUAACCCCGUCUCCUCGGGGAUUGUGAUCCAAGUAUGGGUUGCAUUGCACGAAUCUUCAAGAGGUGCCAGGGGAGAGCAAAUUGGAGUCGUG